CGUCCAGACUCCUACGGGAGGCAGCAGUCGGGAAUAUUGCGCAAUGGAGGAAACUCUGACGCAGUGACGCCGCGUAUAGGAAGAAGGUUUUCGGAUUGUAAGCUAUUGUCCACAGGGAAGAAAAAAGACUGUACCUGUGAAGAAAGCUCCGGCUAACUACGUGCCAGCAGCCGCGGUAAUACGUAGGGAGCAAGCGUUAUCCGGAAUUACUGGGUGUAAAGGGUGAGUAGGCGGCAUGGUAAGCCAGAUGUGAAAGCCUUGGGCUUAACCCGAGGAUUGCAUUUGGAACUAUCAAGCUAGAGUACAGGAGAGGAAAGCGGAAUUCCUAGUGUAGCGGUGAAAUGCGUAGAUAUUAGGAAGAACACCAGUGGCGAAGGCGGCUUUCUGGACUGAAACUGACGCUGAGGCACGAAAGCGUGGGGAGCGAACAGGAUUAGAUACCCCGGUAA
rnacentral:rRNA from 1 species